rnacentral:rRNA from 1 species
UGCUAGUCGCACGGGUUUAGACCCGUGGCAGAUAGCUCAGUAACACGUGGCCAAACUACCCUAUGGAUCGCGAUAACCUCGGGAAACUGAGGCUAAUCGCGAAUACGGCUCCCAUGCUGGAACAGCAAGGAGCUGGAAACGUUCCGGCGCCAUAGGAUGUGGCUGCGGCCGAUUAGGUAGACGGUGGGGUAACGGCCCACCGUGCCGAUAAUCGGUACGGGUUGUGAGAGCAAGAGCCCGGAGACGGUAUCUGAGACAAGAUACCGGGCCCUACGGGGCGCAGCAGGCGCGAAACCUUUACACUGCACGACAGUGCGAUAGGGGGACUCCGAGUGCGAGGGCAUAUAGUCCUCGCUUUUCUGCACCGUAAGGUGGUACAGGAACAAGUGCUGGGCAAGACCGGUGCCAGCCGCCGCGGUAAUACCGGCAGCACGAGUGAUGGCCGCUAUUAUUGGGCCUAAAGCGUCCGUAGCCGGCCGAUCAAGUUCGUCGGGAAAUCUGCCCGCUUAACGGGCAGGCGUCCGGCGAAAACUGAUUGGCUUGGGGCCAGAAGACCUGAGGGGUACGUCCGGGGUAGGAGUGAAAUCCCGUAAUCCUGGACGGACCACCGGUGGCGAAAGCGCCUCAGGAAGAUGGACCCGACGGUGAGGGACGAAAGCUAGGGUCUCGAACCGGAUUAGAUACCCGGGUAGUCCUAGCCGUAAACGAUGCUCACUAG